UGAACACAUCCUCUGCUGCACCUUGGUCCCCUCUUCCAGACAUCCGUUACAUCAGUGUUGCUUCCUAAGUGGACAGUUUGAUUUCACAGAAGUGUGAUUGACUUGGAGUUACAUUGUGUUGUUUAAGUGUUCCCUUUAUUUUUUUGAGCAGUAUAUAUAUAUAUAUUAGCAGAAAUGUCUUCACCCGUUUUUGCUUUGUCAUUAUGAGGUAUUGUGUGUAGAUUGAUAAGGGGGAAAAUAACGAAUUAAUUAAUUUUAGAAUAAGGCUGUAAUGUAACAAAAUGUGGAAAAAGUCAAGGGGGCUGAAUUCUUUCCGAAUGCAGUGUAUCUACCUCAUACCUUGUACCUCUGCACGUUGGUCUUGUACUGGUGCUCUCUCUAUAUAGCUCCAUUCUUUUGUAUUUUAUUUUAUUCCUUGUGUUCUUGUUUUUAAGCUCUGCAUCGUUGGGAAGGGCUCUGAGCAAGUAUUUCAUGGCUGGACUGCACAGCAGCCAUGUAAUCGCCCACGCCCUCCCUACUCUGGCACUGUAUCAGCCAAUGACUGUAUAUACGAAGGUAUCAGCACGCUUGGCUACAUCGCAUCUCCUUGCCGGAUAGCCUUUGCUGUAUCAGGACAGGACGUCACGGCUUUGACCUAGGGCAAAGAAGCACGAGUUACCCCCUUCCAUCAGAGCAUCUGAACAUACUUCAGUUUAUCGGGCCGAGCACGCACGAGCCAGCAGGUGCCAUGGAGUCGCAUCUCUCUGCCACCGCAUAUCUCGUCCUAGCAUUGGUCUCCACAACAUCUGGGUUCUUCUGGACUCCCCGAGGUCCUCAGAUGUACCCAUGCCUCACCUACAUGGAGCGCAACCUGCGGGUAGACUGUGAGUUCCCUGUGGAAGACAACCCUGCACACCUAGGCCCCUACUGCGAGUACAAGCAGGACAGCCGACUGGUGGGCAGCACCUACCCCAACGCUGUGUCCCUGGUGUCCACAGACAACCGAAGGAGGGCCAACGUGAGCCUGGUCAACCCCACCGUGUGUCGUCUUACCUGGGCUCCGAUGGCGGACGAUAAGCCCUACACCUACACCUGCAGGGUGUACCAGGGGUCUACCUGGAAGGAGAACAGCAUGGCUGUACACCAGCGAAUUCUUCCAAUCUGUUCAGCCCUCAGCGUGAUGUUCCAUACUGGGCUAUUUCUUCUGUCCCUUGUGAUGUCACUUCCUGUAACUAUGGGUCUCCUCUCUCCCUGAUCUCCUUUCAAUGUACAGAUAGCUAGAUGUUGUUACAUGUUUUUAAACAGAUUUUCAUAUCAUUAUUAUAGUACACAAUAAUAACUACAAUUUAUUGAGAUCAUAGUCAAUGUGUAAUGAAACAGUGGUACGUUGGAGGCUGUGGCUCCAUAUUCACUGUUUUCUGACCACUUCAAUGAUCACUUUAAAAACUGAUCCAUCAGACUAGAUCUUAUUCUGUAUUAUCUAUUCUCUAUACUUUAGGCUUUGCUUUUGGAGUAUCAGGUGAGAAUCCUGUCAAAACAAUUUCUUUAUAUCAGUCAAACUUUCAGAACGUCCAGACUUUCAGGCUCUCAUCAGCCCUUUGGCUCAGGGAUGCUAGUACUGGAAUGGGUGGUCAUGUCCUAAAGAGAUUCACAAUGGCUAUGUUUACACAGGCAGACCAAUUUUGAUAUUUUUCCACUAAUCGUUUUUUUAAACAAUCAGAUUAGUUAAAAGCAGCCUUUGUGUAAAAGCAGCCUUUUUUUGGGGGGGGGGUAUAUUUUACAAUAGUUAUCUUGUUAUUUUUAGAACCACCCUUCAGCUUCAUUCAACCCCUCCCAUCUAUCUCUGAAAACCCUCAGGUUUUUUGCAGAGUUAGCUCCAGGUAAACGUUGCAAUUCUUCAGUACCAAAACAAAUGAUCUAAUGAUUCUGUUUCUUCACAGCAAAAUCUGCAGAGCUGGGAUGGUUGUAUAAUCAUUUAAAUUAUUUAACUAAGUUUUGAAUCCAGCAUCAUUUUAUGUAUCAGUUCAUGAACCAUGAAUUCAUUAGGCCUAUGGAUUUUACAUGUCUGGGCAGGUGCACAGCCAUGGGUGGGUGGGAGCCUUUUAUUGUCCCCAGCACAAUGUGCACCUGUGUAAUGAUCAUGCUGUUUAAUCAGCUUCUUGAUAUGCCACACCUGUCAAGUGGAUGGAUUAUCUUGGCAAAGGAGAAAUGCUCACUAAUAGGAAUGUAAACACAUUUGUGCACAACAUUUGAGAGAAAUAAGCUUUUUGUGCAUAUGGAACAUAUUAGAUCUUUUAUUUCAGAUAAUGAAACAUGGGACAAACAUUUUACAUGUUGCUUUUAUAUAUUUGUUCAGUGUAUAUAGCACAGCUGUAUUGUCACAGUUGACUUGGACUGGUGUAAGGCGGAAUCAGAUGCAGGAGACAGGUGCUGGAGAUGAGUGUCCUUUUAAUAAUUUGACACACAAAACAAAACCGCACAAGGCACAGGGCGCUACAGACAGACUGCCUGGGAAAAACACAUUCCCAAUGAACAAAAUAUAUAUAUAAGUGGCACAAAAAGGCACGGGGCGCAGCCCGGUAAAUCCUCUCUUCGUGAAACUGUCAGAAACAAACCCAUAAUAAAACACGGACCACCGUCCUGAGUAGACAAUGAACAAUCCGACACAAAACCCCAACUGAAAACACACACUAAUAAGGCCCCACUAAUGACAGACACAAAACAGGUGCGGAACAGACAGACGAAACCAAAAGACACAGAACCAACGAUCGGUGGCAGCUAAUAGGCCGGCGACGACGACCGCCGAGCACCGCCCGACCGAGGAGGGGCGCCACUUUCGUUGGAUCCUGUGACAUGUAUAUUUUUUGCUCCGUAAAUGAAACUGGCAUACUUUUUUUAUUCAUCACAAUUUUCAUUAACCAAUUUUGGUCUUUAAUGAAGGGGCGACAGACAAGUUUGCAAACGCAGCCUUUGUGAAUCUCUUUAGGACAUGAUCACCCAUUCCCAUAGUAGCAUCCCUGUAGCAUUGAGGAGAUAGUGGGGGGUGAAAAGUAAGGCCAACACUACCGUAUCAGAGUGUGUAUUUGGCUCACAGCCCCUGAUUCUGGGGCACUUAAAGCUGCAAUAUUGUAUGUAACUUUUUGGUUGACCCAACCAAAUUCACAUUGAAAUGUGAUAUGUCAUUCUCAUUAAAAGUCUUAAGAAACUGUGGAUCUGUUCUAUGUGCGCUAUGUCUAUGCUUUCCGUGCUUAAGUUUCUUUUUGUAUCUUUUAUGUUUGGUUUUGUACACCAGCUAUAAAGAGCUGGUUAUACGUUGUUUUUGUACUUGAAAAAAAUUAGGGCAACUAUUAUAAUUUUAGUAACUAGGAAAUGGCAGAGUGAUUUCUGCCUAUUGCAUCAUUAAGGAUUUCCUCUGAAUUACCAUUAAGAUAAUGGAUGAAAUGGAAAUGAUUGGCUAUGGAAUGACUAAGAUAUUUACAUGUCAGGUGGUAUAUGUUGUAACUAUUCAAUAAUUGGUUAAUGAUCAACUCUUGCCUUUUAUUUCAAUCUCAAAGUAUUUAGAAACCUUUCAUGGAUGCAAAGAAAUCUGACGCUCUCUUUAGUUUGAAAGUUUUGUUUACAUUUUGUCAUUCCCAUAUGUUCUUGUAGAUUUCAUACAGUAGAAGCUUGAGCUUAGCUAAAUUGUAUAUCAAAGGAAACAUUACACUUAGUGAUAUCCCCUGUAUUGCAUAAUUACCGAUUGCUGAUUAGCCAUUGAAAGUUCAAGACAUGUCAGGACUGUGUUAAAUGUUUUGAUACUCAGCUUCACAUGGCACAUUAUUCGUUAUUGUAAUAAUGUAUUAAAUCUAUAGGCAACAAUUAUAUUCAACAUUUUGUAAUGUUAUUUUUAAGAAAAUUAUUAAGUGGAAUUGCUUACAGAUGUAUCUUGCCAAAAAUGAUUGAUCAAAUUGUACUUUCACUGCACCAUAGCAUUAUUUUGGAAAUAAUUAUAUAGGUUAUUACAAGUAAAAGUCUUUCAUAUGCUUUGCAGAUGUAAAAAUUCUUGUAGCAAUUUUUUUUAGGACUCAUCAUGGAGGUCAUUCUAGAUCUUUGUCCUCAAAAACCUCCAAUCACUGUGAAUGAGUUCAGAGUCUAGAAGACCACGCUGAAAUCGAGGCUGUUUUAGGACAAGCCCAAAUGAUAGAAAAGUUAUUUAGAUAAUAAGAUCAGGUGGUGAAUGAAUGAGAUAGUUAUGGUAGUAAAUCAAAUGAACUAACUAAAUGUUUCUGGACAAAAAAACUGACUAACUGAAAUUAGCACUUGGAAAUGGACCAGGGUCUCUGAUACACAUGACCAUCACGUGUCCUGAUAGUCGUUAGUACGUUGAUAGUUUGUUGAUGUUAGUUUAUGGUAUGUGCAGAAUGAAAGAACAUGUAGAUGUGAUAAAUAUGUCUAGUUGAUGAUGUCAUUAGCUGCUUUCAUUCUCUUCCUUUCUCAUUCUAAUGCUCUUAUUGCUCCCACGCACAGCUUACACUGGCACUGCGCUAGCUAUCUGCACAUGCUUCAAGUGCCUAGGCUUUUUGAAUGCUGCGUUAUUGUUCAUAUCGGUAUCUGUGUCCUUGCAGACAAUUCUGCUUCUCUUACACGGCACACCUUACUUAGCAAAUAUCCUAUGUGCUGUACCUUUUUGUUUUUAUCACUGUAAUAAUAGUCUAGUCUUCCAUGCACUGAAAUCUCAUUGUAGUUUGACUGCUUUGCAAAGUGGGAUUUGUGAAUGUGAUGUGUACACAUUAGUUUGCCAAACCAGUGUUUUCUCUCCUUUCUUUCUUGCCACUGAAUGUGUACAAAAUGCAAUAGCAAGAAAUAAAAGGUAUAACAGUAAAAAUUGUAUUUUUGUCUUGCUAACAUUUCAGCAUCUUCACUUUAUUUCCAUGAUGUUCACAGACAAUCUACUGUAUAUAUGCUAUUGGCAAGUUUGGUGUUGGUACAGUAUACAUUCAUUUCAGAUUUUGGAGGAAGUUAUUAUAGAAUCAUAAAUCUCUCUUUGGAACAUUAAACUUUUUUUGACCAGGUCAUGUGUUUUGUUCUCGUCCCUGGGGCCUAUGCCUCAGGGCUCCAGUACUGUGACAAUGCAGUCUGACACUAGAGAAGAGGAGAGCACCUUCACUGUGGAUCAAACCAACACGCUUCUGUAAUUGCUGAGGGAGCUGAGGGUACUGCCUGUGUCUCUGUAGCAGAGUUGGAGCAGACCUUAUGCCACUAGAUGGCGGUCCAAUAUGAAAAUAAACAUGGCUGAGAAUAGUAUUGAGAAUUGUGCCAUUACAGACCCAGCAUGCCCUAUAUACAC
rnacentral:lncRNA from 1 species